UAGCAUAUCUGCUGUGGGAAUUG
rnacentral:piRNA from 1 species